rnacentral:tRNA from 1 species
UCGGGUGUGGUGUAGCGGUAACAUCGCUGACUCUCACUACUCAGUAGUGCCUCUUCUCAGCAGCCCGGGGUUCGACUCCCCGCAUCCGAG